AAAAUUGGAAGAGGAUUAGGUUUGGUCAUCGUGUGGCUGUGAAAGAAUUUCUUCUUCGAUUGAAGCUAAAAAUCGCCGUCGAUUCAGUUCCAAUCAGAGCUCAUGUCGUCGUCUCAAACUCGCUCUCUUCUCGUCUCCAUCGAGCUCGAUAUCUAUUUCUUCCUCCAACGACCGUCGUCACCACAUCGCGAUUGCCUUCGUCUCAGUUUGAUCCGGUCUUAACCUUCUUUCCUCUGUGGAUUCAUCGUCACUCCAAAUUGUUCCAUAUCUCAACAAAGAACUUCGAAAUCCUCACCUUUAGAGAUGGAUUUAGAUGUCGAAUUGUAGCUUCAGAUCUUGAUUCUAUCGUUUUCUACAUGCUCACAAAUAGAAAGAUAAAUAAAUGA